rnacentral:rRNA from 1 species
GUGAGUAACACGUGGAUAACCUACCUAUAAGACUGGGAUAACUUCGGGAAACCGGAGCUAAUACCGGAUAACAUAUUGAACCGCAUGGUUCAAUAGUGAAAGGCGGCUUUGCUGUCACUUAUAGAUGGAUCCGCGCCGUAUUAGCUAGUUGGUAAGGUAACGGCUUACCAAGGCAACGAUACGUAGCCGACCUGAGAGGGUGAUCGGCCACACUGGAACUGAGACACGGUCCAGACUCCUACGGGAGGCAGCAGUAGGGAAUCUUCCGCAAUGGGCGAAAGCCUGACGGAGCAACGCCGCGUGAGUGAUGAAGGUCUUCGGAUCGUAAAACUCUGUUAUCAGGGAAGAACAAAUGUGUAAGUAACUGUGCACAUCUUGACGGUACCUGAUCAGAAAGCCACGGCUAACUACGUGCCAGCAGCCGCGGUAAUACGUAGGUGGCAAGCGUUAUCCGGAAUUAUUGGGCGUAAAGCGCGCGUAGGCGGUUUUUUAAGUCUGAUGUGAAAGCCCACGGCUCAACCGUGGAGGGUCAUUGGAAACUGGAAAACUUGAGUGCAGAAGAGGAAAGUGGAAUUCCAUGUGUAGCGGUGAAAUGCGCAGAGAUAUGGAGGAACACCAGUGGCGAAGGCGACUUUCUGGUCUGUAACUGACGCUGAUGUGCGAAAGCGUGGGGAUCAAACAGGAUUAGAUACCCUGGUAGUCCACGCCGUAAACGAUGAGUGCUAAGUGUUAGGGGGUUUCCGCCCCUUAGUGCUGCAGCUAACGCAUUAAGCACUCCGCCUGGGGAGUACGACCGCAAGGUUGAAACUCAAAGGAAUUGACGGGGACCCGCACAAGCGGUGGAGCAUGUGGUUUAAUUCGAAGCAACGCGAAGAACCUUACCAAAUCUUGACAUCCUUUGACCGCUCUAGAGAUAGAGUNUUCCCCUUCGGGGGACAAAGUGACAGGUGGUGCAUGGUUGUCGUCAGCUCGUGUCGUGAGAUGUUGGGUUAAGUCCCGCAACGAGCGCAACCCUUAAGCUUAGUUGCCAUCAUUAAGUUGGGCACUCUAAGUUGACUGCCGGUGACAAACCGGAGGAAGGUGGGGAUGACGUCAAAUCAUCAUGCCCCUUAUGAUUUGGGCUACACACGUGCUACAAUGGACAAUACAAAGGGCAGCUAAACCGCGAGGUCAAGCAAAUCCCAUAAAGUUGUUCUCAGUUCGGAUUGUAGUCUGCAACUCGACUACAUGAAGCUGGAAUCGCUAGUAAUCGUAGAUCAGCAUGCUACG